ensembl:lncRNA
AAAAAUCUAAUUCCUCUGAAGCGUUGAGGCCGGGCUUUCAUUGGGUUAUUUUAGCACAACAGCCGAAGAAGAUAUCAGGAGAAGACUCCAGGGACAUCUGAUCAAGCCAUCUCAGAACAGGACCACAGGAAUGGAGGUUACAAGGCAGACUUAUCCAUGAGCUAUUUGACCCAGCCACACCAACUGCAUUUUAAAGAGGGAUGAUGAGGGGGUAGGAUUGCUCCUCCUUCUUUUUUCAAACCUCACUAUUAGCAUACUCUAGAUCAAAAUAAUGUUACAAAUGUAAGUUACAGCAUAUCCUGAAGUAUAAAUUUUAAGCUUUUAGAACAGAA